rnacentral:misc_RNA from 1 species
UAGAGUGCGGUAGUUGUUGUGUGU